GCGGGCAACGUGGAGCGGGAACAAAGGACCCCGCGGCCCACGGCGAUCAGGGGCGCGGUGCCACCCUACCCCAGGCCCGGGGUACCGAUGGGGCCCUGGGCCAGCUCCCCGCCCCCACUCGCCGGGUCCUGGAAAGGCUCACGGAAGAGAGUCCAGACCCCGGGCCGACCCCAACACUAGGCAUCGGUUCCUGACAGCAGGAACUGAGAUUCCCGCGCCCUCCUUCCGGGAGGUCAUCCCUGGCCCGCGCGCGGCGUCUUGACCCAGGCCCCCGAGGACCCCUCGUGCAAAAACUUCUCGUUCCUCACGCCCUGCUUCCUCGACUCCAGCGCUCUCCGAGGCGGCCCGCGCCCGCCCUUGGCCGCUAACGCGAUCCGGCAACCACAGCAGCACCGGGAGCGCGAGGGCCGCUCGGCUGCAGCUCCUCGCCCCCAGAGAGCGGCGGCGGCAGCGGCCGCGGCUUGGGGAAUCCUCCUCCCGGCACCCGGCACCGCUCCGCGCCAUCCCCCAGUUCGCAGUCUGGCUGCGCCCUCUUCCUCCUCCACCGUCCAUGGGACCGGCGCGUAUUACCUGGUUCAUCUCUAAAGAGAUGGAAAAACUCAUCUCUGGAGCUUCAAAGGGGAGCAGGAGGAAGCGGGCGGGAAUCGGCCCAACGGAAAGCGCCUAGAGGCCACCGAGGAGGGAGCGGCCGAGCGGGGAGACGAGCGGACAGCCCGCGGAGGCUGCGAGGAAGGGGAGCGCACCGGAAAUUCGCGGGGACUCGCUAGCUCGCUGGCACAGCGGCGCUGAAGCCGCAGGCGGCGAAACUGUGCCCAGCAGUUCCGAGCGACCGACCUCCACGCGCGUCCCGGAGACACUGCCCUCGCCGCCGCCGCCCGCUAGCGCCUCACCCCCUCGCACGUCACCACGUGCGCCGCUGCCGUAGCCGCCGCCAACACCUCCCCGACGCUUCCGGCUGGAAAGCGUCGGCAAAUGACGAGCGAGCACAGCAAUAUAGCGCUCGCGGCCCCGCCCACCGCUGGCCCCGCCCCCACCCUUCCCCUCGCCCCCCCAACCCUUCUCCCCCGCCCUGUUUGGUUCCGUCCUGCGCAUCUCAACUAGGUCAAAGCAAGGUGAUCUUUGGAAGAGCGGGUGCUCGGGGCCCGCCACUUGUCGCGCCGUCGGCCCUCGCCCUUUCAGACAGUCCGGGAACUGGUUCCCUCCAGCCGCCCUCACCUGUUCUGCCAUCCCCUGGAGGCACAAUAUAGCCAGAGAGAUUAGGUGUGAGAGAUUAGAUUUUUCGGCGUCAAAUGUACAUCUAGGCAGCAGCCCUAGGACUGGAGCUGGCCGCAGUGGACCUAAGAGUCCGUAGCUGCCCGUCUGCCCUCACCUUUGUAGGAGGGUGAUGCGAGGAGGAAGCGUGGUGAUUGUGAGGAAGAGCAGAGGCACGCUGACGAAAAGGGGUGAGAGGAUUCCGUAACUUCGAGAAAACAAUUGGAGAGGUCAGAGAAGGCCUAAUAUUAUAUCAGUGUUGCUCUGAAAAACUGUUUACUUCUACUUUUCGUCCCCGGGAUUUGUUUUGUCUGAGUGCAGCUCUCCUCUCGGCGACACUGAGUCAGCUCUUUGCUGGGCUUGCCCUCUUGGAAAAAGAAAAUAACCUUGAGACCAGAUAGCAACCUUAAUUAUCCCCAUGCACUCACCCACCUUGCCCCCAGAAGACAAACCUGUUCAGGGGGAGCGUGGGGUAUAGCAGGCUGACAGCAACUUCAUGGGACUCUGAAGGGCACACUGGAAAGCUUCCUAGAUUGAAGGCGACUCCAGAUUUAAGUCUAUCUUUCCAAUUACUAUAUAAUCCAGAUGAAAAUUUAACAAUGGAACAUCGUGGACAAUUUCAACCCGGGUUGAAGACUGACUGACCCUAGAAUAGAAAAGUAAUAAACAUCCCCUUGGAGACUUUCUCCUAAGAGAGGAGAUGAGGGAACUAUGUUUAAGGAAAUGGGAUGUCAAAGUGGCAAAGCCAGGCUUUGAAGUCACUUCUCUUAACCUCUGUGGAAGUGGAAGGGUGACAGAUGGAAGAUCCACUUUAGAGGUAAGGAACAUGAGAAGAAAGAAGCAAUUAUGUCACAGAUGAGUUUCGUGAAGACCCAAGAGACUUACUCACCCAGAUUUCCUCUUGUGGAAAAGCUCACUGAGCAGUGACCAUCCUAUAAAUCCAGAUGCAUGCCUCCAUGGAAGUUGAGAAGACCACAUCCUUCCCAGCCCCUCCACUCACUCCAGCCAAGGGGCAGGCACAUGAAGAAUCAGCCAGGCAGUUGCUUUCCCAUGGGCUUUUGAAACUUGAGUGACACAAGGAAACAGCAAUGGCUCUGACCACAGGAAAUUUUCCAGAGUGCCCAGCCUGUUUCCAAGCCCUGCUCUGAAAUACCACAUCAGUUCUGAGCACACCAUCAGCACCACCAAACCCUUUGCUCCAAUAAAUAUGCUUUAGCUUCACUUGGCCAGGUCAGUUUUUGUUAGCAGCAGCCAAGGGACUCUCACUGCCACAAAAUCUCUUACCACCAUAUGACCUAACCUCUCUUUCCCUAGUGAAUAAUCUUUGUUUAAAACCUAAAUGGACAAAGCAAAUAUAUGUAAGAUCAUGUUUCAAAUU